rnacentral:rRNA from 1 species
UACGUAGGGUGCAAGCGUUAAUCGGAAUUACUGGGCGUAAAGCGUGCGCAGGCGGCUUUGCAAGACAGAUGUGAAAUCCCCGGGCUUAACCUGGGAACUGCAUUUGUGACUGCAAGGCUGGAGUGCGGCAGAGGGGGAUGGAAUUCCGCGUGUAGCAGUGAAAUGCGUAGAUAUGCGGAGGAACACCGAUGGCGAAGGCAGCCCCCUGGGUCAAGACUGACGCUCAUGCACGAAAGCGUGGGGAGCAAACAGG